AAGUCGUAACAAGGUUUCCGUAGGUGAACCUGCGGAAGGAUCAUUACUGAAGAUCAUAGAGCUUGAGACUGCGUUCAAACAAGCGUGUGCUCGGCUCUUAUUUCUUUAUCCACACACACCUUUUGUGCACUAUGGGGACCGUAAAACAGUCCCCCUUUUCAUAUAAAAACCAGGUUAUAAUGCAUGGCUGUAUAAAUACUCUACGGAGUAAAAAAUACAACUUUCAACAACGGAUCUCUUGGCUUUC
rnacentral:misc_RNA from 1 species